AGUGUUAUUUUAUUUAACAUAAAAACGUUUAUUAGUAUAAAACUGUUUAUUUUCCUAAUGAACAGUGAAACCAUUGAUUUCCUUUUUGCUUUCCCUGGCUCAAUUCGCUCUUCUUAGCUCCGUUUCAUUUUCUCCCUCGUCACGUUUUUCCUUCUUCGCUUUCCUUGGCUCAAUUCGCUCACACUCAUUCUCCAGUUCUUGGGCUUGGAUGGUGUAGGUUGAAGUUGGAUUCUUUUAGAUGAGACCAAAUUUUAGGUGAUCAGUUUGGUUUGCUUCAUUUCCAUCUAAAGUUCAUUUCUUUCACAUAUUUUUUAUGUGUUCAUGAUAUGAUUUUCUUAUUUGAUUUCUCAGUUUAUGUAUUGCAUUAUUAUUUUUUAUUAGCAUGAAUUUCCAACUAUUUCUAGAUUGAUUGCGAAAUUAUUGAGUGAAGAAAGCAAAAAUCAGAUAAUGAAAACCAAAAUCAGUUGAAGAUUCUUGCGAUGAUUCAUGCUAAGGUUUGGAUUUUUACAGCUUUGAAAUGGGUGUUUCACCCUAAUUUUCUCAAUGGUAUGAGUAUGACUCUUCGUUUUUUAUAAUUAAUUCUAAUUUAGUUUCUUUAGUUUUAGUUUUCGUUUUCAUUUCUUUGAUUUUUAUGUUGAUGUGAUUUUCGCAACUUUGAAGUGGGUGUAAAACCCUAAUUUCUCAAUGGUAUGACUCUUAAUUUUUUUUAUUAAUGUAAUAUUUCAUCUUCCUCGUUAUGCUCAGCAUUUUCCUGAUCACUUUCAUGGCCCCUCAAAGCCAAAUUUCUCUUUCUUGUUUUUUCAACUUUCUCCCAAUCCUUUUCCAUCUACCAUCCUGAUUUAUAAUCUCCAUGGUCAUGCAUAAACUUCAUGAAGAUCGCAUGUGUUCCCUUGACAUUUGAAUUUCAUUUUCUGGGUUCGUAAUUUUUUUUACUUAAAAUUGUAAAUGAUUAAUGUGAAAUUAGUAGGAACCUAAGAUACUAUAGCCAACUCUUGACCUUUUCCUCUACUUUGUUAUUGUUUCUGCUGCUGCUUAUGGUGGUGCGAGGUUGCUACUGAUUGCAAUUGGAUCAAAGAGUUGUUGUUUUGAAAAGCUUGAGAAAAUAAGGAGCAAUGUUUUGAGAGCUUGUACCAAAGAUGGUAUGGCUCUUAGUUUUUUUGCUCCCUCUAUUUUGAAUGACAUUGCUCGUGCUGUUGUGGAUAAGGCUAAGGUCGCUAACUUGAAAUUCAAAUGGCAAUUUUCAUGUGUUAUGUUUAUUGUUGGUUUCAAACCUACCUUAGCAACUUUCACCACGUUCAUUGAGGAUAAAUGGCCAUUUCUAGACAACCUUUCGGCCAUCCUUCAAUAAGACGGAUAUUUUCUAGUUAAUUGUGGUUCUAAAGAUGAUGUUAAUUCGAUUAUUAAGGGUGGGAAUGUUAUGAUUGGAAAAAGACCUGUGUUAAUCAGGUAAUUGGAAGAGCACUUUGAUUUUAAGCGUGAUAUUCGACAUGUCGUGUGUGUGGGUUUGGUUCUUGAAUCUUCCUACCAAAUUUUGGGGGCUAAAUCCUUAAGUAGAAUAGGUGGUUUAUUUGGGGUGCCUGUUAUUGCAGAUGAAUGUACUACUAAUCAACGCAGGGUGAGUUAUGCUCGGGUCUUGAUUGAGGUGGAUGUAUCUAAGCCUUUGCCUAAGGUUAUUCCGGUGGAAGAUAAGGAGGAUCAUGUUGAUGAUCAGGCGUUCUUUAUUAAGUGGGUGCCUUAUUUUUGUCAGAAAUGCCGGGCGUUAGGGCAUAUAUGUGAUGAGUAGUUAGAUCCCUAUGAAUAGACAGGCUAUAAAGGCUGUCAAAAAGAGUGCCACUAUUGUGCCUAAGCAGGGUACCGUUGAACAGACAGUGGGUACUAGUGUGGGUAAAGAGUUAUAGAGUGAAGGUAGUUGUGAUAUUCAACAGUCUCUUGGUGGGCUGAAUAUUUGUUUCCCAUUCUCUCUUGCCGUGAAUUUGCCCCUGUGAGGUUGAGGUGCUUUAUUGAACAGUUGUGCAAAGAGGAAGGCUUUCGAGGCUAGUACCUCUUAGUCUUCUAAGCUUUUGUAGGGUAUGGUUUUUGGCUUAGCUUUGGCUAUCAUUGUAUAGUUUGGUAGAAAGUUUUUUUCUUGUUAAAGUUUGUUUUUUUUGGUUUGGUUGGCUUUGGAUGAUAAAAAAGUUAAUUUUUUUUUUUGGCUAGUCGGCGCCUCCUUUUUGUGUUUAAGGGUUAUUUUUUCCUUUUAUAGCCUAAGCUACAAAAAAGUUUUGUUUUUGAAGUUAAUAUAUUCCUAUUAAUUGCCAAAAGAAUCCUCAAUUGUACGGAAAGUGUUGCAUUUUUUAAGAUCUUAUAUUGCUCUUUAACAAAAAUUUCGCAAUAUUGUAAUUAUAUGUGUUGUGACAAUACUACAGGAAGUUUAUCGUAAUUAUAUAUAUUCUACAAAGAUUUCUUAAUAUUG